GGAGGGGUGGCCGAGUGGUUUAAGGCACCGGUCUUGAAAACCGGCGUAGGUGCAAGCCUACCGUGGGUUCGAAUCCCACUCCCUCCGCCA
rnacentral:tRNA from 1 species